rnacentral:rRNA from 1 species
UACCAGCACCCCGAGUUGUCGGGACGUUUAUUGGGCCUAAAGCAUCCGUAGCCGGUUCUACAAGUCUUCCGUUAAAUCCACCUGCUUAACAGAUGGGCUGCGGAAGAUACUAUGGAGCUAGGAGGCGGGAGAGGCAAGCGGUACUCGAUGGGUAGGGGUAAAAUCCGUUGAUCCAUUGAAGACCACCAGUGGCGAAGGCGGCUUGCCAGAACGCGCUCGACGGUGAGGGAUGAAAGCUGGGGGAGCAAACCGG